rnacentral:rRNA from 1 species
GAUGAACGCUGGCGGCGUGCCUAAUACAUGCGAGUCGAGCGAACGGACGAGAAGCUUGCUUCUCUGAUGUUAGCGGCGGACGGGUGAGUAACACGUGGAUAACCUACCUAUAAGACUGGGAUAACUUCGGGAAACCGUAGCUAAUACCGGAUAAUAUUUUGAACCGCAUGGUUCAAAAGUGAAAGACGGUCUUGCUGUCACUUAUAGAUGGGUCCGCGCUGCAUUAGCUAGUUGGUAAGGUAACGGCUUACCAAGGCAACGAUGCAUAGCCGACCUGAGAGGGUGAUCGGCCACACUGGAACUGAGACACGGUCCAGACUCCUACGGGAGGCAGCAGUAGGGAAUCUUCCGCAAUGGGCGAAAGCCUGACGGAGCAACGCCGCGUGAGUGAUGAAGGUCUUCGGAUCGUAAAACUCUGUUAUUAGGGAAGAACAUAUGUGUAAGUAACUGUGCACAUCUUGACGGUACCUAAUCAGAAAGCCACGGCUAACUACGUG